UACGAACCACACGAACGUUAUUCGGAAUCACUGGGCUUAAAGGGUGCGUAGGCUGCGCAGAAAGUUGGGUGUGAAAUACCUCGGCUCAACCGAGGAACUGCGCCCAAAACUACUGUGCUCGAGGGAGACAGAGGUGAGCGGAACUUAGGGUGGAGCGGUGAAAUGCGUUGAUAUCCUAAGGAACACCCGUGGCGAAAGCGGCUCACUGGGUCUCUUCUGACGCUGAGGCACGAAAGCUAGGGUAGCGAACGGG
rnacentral:rRNA from 1 species